CGGGGCCUCAGGAGGGCGGGCCGGCGGCCCUGACGCGGCGGGGGUGGCGGCGGCUCGCGCGCACGCAGCCGGGAGUCGGACGGCCUCACCUCGGCCCUCGCCCCGCCCACCGCCCAGGGGUGGAGGCGGGCGCCAGGGCGGGGCGGGGCGCGCGUGCGCAGUGCGCGGGGGCGAGGCCGGCGGGGAGGACGUGAGGCACGCGCUCCUUUCGGGGAACGCCCACCCCGGGCGGCCGGAGGCCGUGGGCCGCCCGGGCCCGUGACCCGGGGUUUCGUUUCCCGGGUAGCCUCGCUGCUCCUGCAGUCCCGGUGCGCCAGCCUCGCGGACCCCUUCCUGCCGUGCCCAGUCCUGGCCCGUGUUCUGAGUCCUGCAGUCGCGCCACUGCCUGUCGCUCCGUCCCGCGGUUACUCCCGUUGUGUUGUCCCCGGCGUGGCGGGAGGACCGAGCCUGUGGCCGCCAUCCCCCUGGUCUCCUGACCCCGAAGCCUCGUUCUGGCAGCUGCAGGCCUCCGGCGAGGAACGGGGCUGAGGGCCCUCCGAUCGGACACGUGGGCCCCGCCUUCCUCCGGCUCUACGGUGGAGCUCUUUGAUCCCUGGAGGGAUGUUUUAAUUUUCCCGGAAAAAAUCGCCUGCACCGAAAGGCAGGGGAUGAAUUCCGUCCUCACAGAAAAUGAGGAGACAAGACCUGAUUGAAACAAACGUUGCCUAGAGGUAAAGGGCAACGGCCGAGCCUUGGACGGUGCGAAACUGACUGAUCCUGGUUACGAUCGUUAACUCUUGGGAAACCUCCACAUGAAGACGCAAGUGACCAGUCGGAUGACUUCAGAUGCAACCGUCCAUUUGCUCGUAUGGGGUUGCAUUUUUGCGUAAAACUACGAUUCCCUUUGUCAACGCAGUCAAUUCCUGUUUUGUUUUGUUUUUAAUUUUAAGGUUUAGGUUUUACAAGACACAGGUAGCUGGGAAGAAGGUGGUUUAAUGGAAACGGAUACAGGGACUUUAUAGACUGUCCUUCAAGUUGGUGGAAGUCUUAUUUUAUGGGUGAAGAGAGGAGUGUGACUUGAGAGAGAUUCAUCACAAGAAAACGUAGACCUCUUCAGUCAGAAGUGACGGUGGUCCAGCUGUGUUCUGGAGUCCCUGCAGAUUCUUGACAUUUGCCUCCAUCUAUAGGUAGAUUCCAUAGUCAAAAUUCACAGAAGGGGCGGGAUGUCGCUAGACACUCACUAAAGUAGUAAAUAAUACCGAUACACUUAGAAUUAUUUUCAGCAACAAGGUUUAAAAUAAAACAAAGAAGCAGUUGUUUUUUUGUUUUUGUUGACCCGGUAUUUACUGGGGAAAAGUACUUUUAAGAGCAUGCAAAUAAAUUACUUAAAUAUUUUUACUUUGGGAGAUUUUGUUAAUUUAGUUCAAGCAGUGCAGUUCAGAGAAGGAAAAUGACCCUUUUUGUCCCUUUCAGUUUGGUGCUUUUUUUCUUUAUUCAUUUAAAAUUUUCAUAGCCUACUUAAGUGACAAAUUAUUUUUGCUUAGCUUCUUGGAAUCCAUGUUCGUAUAACACCAUUUUUCUAUGCUGCCUUAUACAAGGGGGAAAGGAUUCUAAUUACAAAGUGGGCUUUGUUUAUGGUACCGUUUUUGUUUUUAAAAAGCAAAAUAAACUUCGAUCUUGCAGUAUUUGAAUUGAAUUGGAAGUUUUAAGGGUGAGAGAACAUUUUCCUCCAGAAGAAGUCUAACCACAGUCCAUCUGCCAUGGAACUUGGCUGUAGGUCCCAGAAGAAACCACCUGUUUAUCUUGGCCUGGACUACAUAUCUCUUUCUUUCCUAGUGGUGAGUUUUCUGUUCUCCUAAAAUACCUGGUAAUGAGAGGCAAGGGGACAUUUUGGAUCCCAUCUUUGUCCAGGGUGUUAGUUAUACCAUCAAUCCCAAAAAGCUUUCCCCCAUUUUUCAUAUGAGGCUGAGGGGCUCCUCAUGCAGAGAGGGAUCCUUGUGGUCUACUCUGAAAUUAGAAUUCUUGAGUUGUGCAUGUGCACUGCAUGCCCCAUAGAUACUGGUUCAGAAAGAAUUUCAUCAAGUGGCUCGAAGGUGAUCGAACUGUAGAGGACUGAGAAACACUAACUAAACUGACAAGCAAUACAUUGGUCUCUUCGAUGGAAAAUUAAAGUAAUUGCAAUGUGAAAUAAACCUGACUUGACAAUGGGAUCCUGUUACCUGUACAGCAGGUUCUCUCUGAAAACCAGUUUGCAUGUUAAUAAUUUGUUUGCUGGAUACAGAAUAAGACAUUGAUUGUUAGAGCCUCUUAAAAAAUACUUCCAUUAAGCCAUCUAAGUCUUAAAAAUUCACUUUUUAAAAAUUCUGGGGACAUUUCUGUCAAGGUUAGGGUUGUUUGUCUUCUAGAAUCAAUGCACCCUCUUCUUGGAUAGUAUUAGAAAACAGUGACGAAUUCCAUAAGCACCAUUUCAAUGUGCCAGGCAAGUUACAGUGCCAUUUCAUUUUACAUUAGUGACAUUUGAGCCAUGUUCUUGAUGUGGGGAUUGGUCAUCUUCCAAGUUUUCCAACAGUACAUUUGUAAGCUGUUUCUUCAGCUUUUGGUGUUAUAAUUUCAUUGCUUUCUGUUUUCACUUUCAGAAGAUGAUCUUUUCCUUACAGAAUACCCAUAUUCUGGAUAUUCUAGUGUAGUUCUUCAUGUGCCAAGAAUAUUCAGGUUUUAAGAAUGACUUUAAAGCUGUUGCCAGAACCAUCAUAUUUACUAAGAAUUCACAAGUUUCUUUACAAUGAAAUUAUUCAAACUAAUUAUUCAUGUGUGUGAGUAUACUGAAAUGUAAUGAGUUAUGUUGGCCCUGAAUUCUAAUUAGUAUAUAAAUAUGUUUUAAAAAUCAAAGAGGAAAUAAAUUUAUACAGAUCAUACUUAUUCGUUCCAAUUAUUUUUACACAUUUGGAAGUGUGUAUUAUUUUUGAUCUUGUAACAAAGUCUGUGAAAAAGUGAUGUAAAAGUGAAGAGCUGGGAAAUUAUGCAAUAAAUUUGAUCAUAUAACUUGA